GUAGUCGUGGCCGAGUGGUUAAGGUGAUGGACUCAAAAUCCAUUGGGGUUUCCCCACGCAGGUUUGAAUCCUGUCGACUACG